AGAAUCUUCCGCAAUGGGCGAAAGCCUGACGGAGCGACACCGCGUGCAGGAUGAAGGCCUUCGGGUUGUAAACUGCUGUCACGCCGUAGGAAUGCCACCUGGUUAAUGGCUAUGUGGUUGACCAAAGCGAGAGGAAGCACCGGCUAACUCUGUGCCAGCAGCCGCGGUAAGACAGAGGGUGCAAACGUUGUUCGGAAUCACUGGGCAUAAAGCGAACGUAGGCCGUCCUUCAAGUCACGCGUGAAAUGCCCCGGCUCAACCGGGGAACUGCGCGUGAUACUGUAGGGCUAGAGGUCGGUUGGGGUGAGUGGAACUCCUGGUGGAGCGGUGAAAUGCGUAGAUAUCAGGAGGAACACCGGUGGCGAAAGCGACUCACUGGACCGAAACUGACGCUGAGGUGCGAAAGCUAGGGGAGCAAAC
rnacentral:rRNA from 1 species